GCCUGUUUAUCAAAAACAUCGCUCCCUGUAUAAUAUUAGAUAGGGAGUCGGACCUGCCCAGUGAAUUUUUAACGGCCGCGGUACUCUGACCGUGCAAAGGUAGCAUAAUAAUUUGCCUUAUAAUUAAGGGCUAGUAUGAAUGGUUUGACGAGAAUAAAGCUGUCUCCUUGUAAUUUACUAGAAAUUUAUUUGUAGAUGAAAAAGUCUACAUAUUAUUAAAAGACAAGAAGACCCUAUCGAGCUUAAAAAAAUUUAGUAGGUUAAAAUAUGUUAAUUAAAUCGAAAAAAUUAUCUACUAAGAAUUUUAGUUGGGGCGACUAAGGAACAAAUAAAGCUUCUUUAAACAUAAUUUUCGUAUAUUAACCUUGAUCCAGAAAUUUCUGAUUAAUAAAAUUAGUUACCGUAGGGAUAACAGCAUUAUCUUUUUUGAGAGCUCUUAUCGAAAAAAAGGUUUGUGACCUCGAUGUUGGACCAGAAUAUCCUAAAGAUGCAGCAGUCUUUAAGGGUUGGUCUGUUCGACCAUUAAUAUUCUACGUGAUCUGAUUCCA
rnacentral:rRNA from 1 species